UGGGCUUCUCAAGUGAGGCAAUGCCUCGCCCUGCUUCAGCUCGCGCACGGUGCGGGCACCCACUGACCUGCGCCCACUGUCUGGCACUCCCUAGUGAGAUGAACCCAGUACCUCAGAUGGAAAUGCAGAAAUCACCGUCUUCUGCAUUGGUAGGCUGAGUAGUCUCAAGAUCUGAAGACAGCAGAAACCUGGGAAAGUUAAUGAUAUACGUUGUUAUACUCCAAGUGUGAGUCUGAAGACAAGGGAAGACCAACGUCCAAGCUUGAAGACAGUCAGAUAGAAUCAUUCUGCAGCCUGGCUAAGGAUGAAGAUAACUGAUAAACUAUUAUAUACCAGUGAGUAUUUCUGGCCCCUCUGUAGCUUGGGUUUUUUAUUGAGAACAAUUACUGUUUUAUAGUGCUUGGUAUGAUUUGGAGCACAAAAUUAAAUGCAACAAUUAGAGAGUAUAAUUUUUAUAGAAGUGUCAAAUAAAAGUUGUGCUAUUUUGGGAAACCAAGAAUGUUGGUUUAAUUUAAACUGAGCACAUUUUAGAGAGAACUCUGUCAUCUUUUACUGAUCUGUGAAGAUAACACCUAGAGUUAAAUUCAACAUCCAAAUGUUUAAUGUGAACGAGUUUCUUGAAUAAUAUACACUUCAACUUGCCUUGAACUAUCAGAAGACAAUUGCUCUAAACCAAUUUUAUUAAUCAAUCAUAAAAUAAAAUUCAACUCACUUAUUUUUCCAAAAAUCUAAAUCUCAAUGCUUUUUUAAACAUAUGUUCCAGUCACAUUUUAGGAAUUCAUUUCUAAAAUGAAUUUUAAUAAGCAAAGAAAUACAGCAAGAAAUGUUGUGAUUAGUACUGCAAAAAUAUGUAUUUUUUAAAUGGUGGCAGGAAAAAAUUUUAUUAUUCUAGAUAUUUGUUUUUCAUGUUUCAUAUUCUAUUCAUAUGCUGUGGCUAUUUUUCCAAAGAAUAUUGUUUUGCUUUUUUAAAACUAAAAAUGCCAGGAUGCAUACAGUAGACGAUCUUAUAUAACACUUUGCUCUUACAUUAGUACUUUACUUUCUACUUCCUUAAAUCAAUUUCAAUCCUUUCUCAUUAUAAUAAAGCUUCCUUGUUCUUCGUUUAGAUUUUUUCACUUUUUAAAAAAUUUUGUUAUUAUUAUACUUUAAGUUUUAGUGUACAUGUAAAAAAAAAAAA
ensembl:lncRNA novel transcript